AUUGAACGCUGGCGGCAGGCCUAACACAUGCAAGUCGAGCGGAGCGGCGGACGGGUGAGUAAUGCAUAGGAAUCUGCCUGGUAGUGGGGGAUAACGUCCGGAAACGGGCGCUAAUACCGCAUACUAUCAGAUGAGCCUAGGGCGGAUUAGCUAGUUGGUGGGGUAAAGGCCUACCAAGGCGACGCUCCGUAACUGGUCUGAGAGGAUGAUCAGUCACAUCGGACCUGCGACAGUGUCCAGACUCCUACGGGAGGCAGCAUGGGGGAAUAUUGGACAAUGGGCGAAAGCCUGAUCCAGCCAUGCCGCGUGUGUGAAGAAUGUCUUCGGUUUGUAAAGCACUGUAAGUUGGGAGGCGUUACCAACAGAAUAAGCACCGGCUAACUUCGUGCCAGCCGCCGCGGUAAUUC
rnacentral:rRNA from 1 species